rnacentral:lncRNA from 1 species
AUUCUUCUGCCAUCUCUGCUGCUACCAAUGCCUGGACCACCACUGCUGCCCUGACAAAAGACAAGAGCCACUGAGAUUCUUCCUACUGAUGCCCCUGGCCCAUCUGUGUCUUGCUAUUCUUACUUUGUUAUUUACCUCUUAGAGUUUCACCUAGACUUUUACGGUCCUUGUAGGAAAAGGCAGUUUCAUAUCCUAUUGACUCAAUUUCUCAGUGUGACUAUUUGACAAGAAGCUAUGCCAUCUAAGGUGGGUAGGUUCUAUGUUGCUCUUAUUACAUUGCCUUAGGCGAAUUCUAAAUCAGGUUAUACAGGCUUUUGAAGGGUGGCCUUGCAUGCCAACCAGUAUUUAUGACACUGGUUUUAGAGGGAAACACAUUCCAAAUUUCAAAUAGUAAGCUUAAAAGUGAACUGUUAGAGUAUGAUUCAUUUUAAGUAGGAACUAUUCUGGGAGCCGGAAGAACAGGUGCUAGCACCUGUUACAAGUGAAUUCUUAUCGAAACCACAGGGAGACCCUUUGGGUAGCCAGCUUAGAGUCCCUUCUCUACUGGGAGUGUAACUUCUCACACUAAGCCCCAGGCUCAGAGGGCAGACAAGCUGGAUUAGCUAGGGUUUGCUUCUCUGAUGUGGAAAAAAAAAUAGAUAUCUGGUAAUUUCCUUGGAUUCCUUUUGGACAUGAUCUUGUGUACAAAUCUGUGCCAAAUGAACUUAAUCUGCCAAGAGAGGAAAAGAAAAAUACCUUAAUCUAUGGAUCUAGCUACCAACUGAAGGAAGUCAAUAAGAAAAUAACUGGAAUCUUAGCAGGUUCUAGAAAAAGUAAGAAAAGAGGUAUAUGUUGUACAAGUAUGCAAUUAAACUAAGAGAAGUUUGGAGUAAUUAAAAGAUAAGCACAAAAAUACCUCACUUUCUACAUCAAAUGACAAAUAUUUAUAUCAAAUUUUUCAAAGAUAGGAAUGUUUAUCAUUUUAGACUAGGAAAGAUACAACACAGAAGACUCUAAUACUCAGAGGGUUUUCCAGUUCUGAGUAUCUUAUGUAUUUUUCCCCUGUUACUCUAAAUUUGUCAAACUGCACAAAUUGAUUCAUUAGAUUGAGUGUUAAGUCUACCUAAACUAGAAUGUGAUAGUGAUGGGCCAGUGACUUCUUUGGAGAAAUCUCUAAAACAUCUAUGCUGAUGAGUUUUGAAACUGGGUUCAGGGUGUCCUGAGACAUCUGGGAGUUGUUGAAAUAAAGUAUAUCUGUGGUGGAUUUAAGAAUUACUCUAUAUUUCAGGUCAUGAUAGGAGGGAUACUUAGCUCCCAAGUUUUAAAGAAUUUAGAAGAGUGCUGCCUUUCUCAAAUAUUGUUAUGUAAUUGAUUAUUCAGCAUGCCUUUUGUUAUGGGGUCCACACAGUAACAAUCUAUUUUCAGUGUCUGACCUUCACUAGCCCCUGAGCUCCAUGAAGACAAGAAUCAUGGCUUAUGGGAAUGCACAAUUGUUUGUUGAAUAAAUAAUUGAAUAAAUGAGAGAAAAAAAGAGUUUAUUGUGAGCAUUUUAUUAAAAAAAGCGAAAUGCUACUUCUUGAUAGAAAGAUUAAAUAAAGUCAUUUCCCAAUAAUAAAGUUAAAACAAAAUUUAAAAUAAUAUAAUGGACUGAAGUUUUAAGUUUGGUGGGAAAUCUGUGGCUUUAAGAAGGAAGAAAUAGACUAUACUUUUUAAAGAUAGAAAGCAUGGCAUGCCCUCCAAAAUUAACCUAGUGGAACAUGGUGUGUAAAGUCUCCCAAACCCAUCAAUUUUAGCCUUACUUUAUAGUAAUAAACACUUUUUAUUGCCAAAGUAAAUUAGGACAAUGAUCUGGGUAAAAUAAUGCUCUUGAGCUGGAUAAGAAAGACUUUGAUUUUCUUGCCAAAUUUAAAGCAAUGACCUUCGUUCUAAGUGUGAAAGCAGCAUAUCAUUGUUGUAUAAAGACAUGAGUGAACCCCACUGAAACUCUUCCACCGUGAGGUUCUGUCAUACCAGCUCAAAUAGUGAGUAAUCAGGAAUGGUUCAAUACAUUAAACAUUCUUUUGGCAUGGUGAUCCUUUUGUCAGGUCAGAAUCAUUAUGACUAGAACUGAAAAUUGAGUGCCAGUCAUGGCAGGAUAUUUAGAUUUCUUCAACCCAUGUAUCUUUUUACAUUGCCACUAUGUCUAUUUUCAAGAGGGAUGGUUCAGACUCAGGCUUAAAGGAUUAAAAAACUCUCUCCAGCACUUACAGUGAGGCUGUAGACAAGUUCCUGAGCCUUUCGGGGCCUCAAGUCCUUUGUAAGCUAGGGUAAUAAUUGUACCUGCCUCAUAAAAGAUUAAAUGGGAAAAUACUCAGUAAAUGUUGCUUUCUUUUAUUUUUCUCUGUGAUGAUUGUUUCAAACUCCAUUACCGUUUCUAGAUCUUUCAUUUCCUUAAGGUUUUCAGUAGUCAGCCCAAACUUUUAACAUUCCUCUUUGUGGAAAUCAUAGCAGCCUAAAGAGUCUAGUUUGCCAAAACUAUUUGCUACAUCUUAUAGAGAAAUUAAAUCAUGCUUGGGGUGUACCUGUGUGUCUGUAUAUAAAAGAGCCUCAACCCUGAGUCUUACCACAGUGAAAGCAGGUGGACCCCACUCUUGGCUAUGAGCCAAAUCCUAUUACUAGGCCUUAUUGAUUCCAGGCUGGCUACAGUUGCUUCCUCUUGUUGUUGCUUUUCCUUCUCACCUCUUAAGGGAGUUGGAAAACUCUAAAUUCAACUUAUGAAAGAAUAUGAAAGUGCUUCUAUUAUUUGUAUAUUUCCCAGAAACUAACCAUCUAGAAGUCAUUUCCUAAGUUAUAAAGAAACACUUUUUUUCCUGAAUUUUUCAUCACAUGAAUAAAACUGGGUUUUCCAUUAUGAUCAUACAACACAAACCACCAGACUGUAAAACUAACAUUUUUCAGUUGGGUUUCUUGCUUACUAUUUUCAAAGUGACUGUUUUCUUGUCCUGCGACAGUGUUCAGGGUGAGAACCACGGGCCAUAGCUGUUAAAGGUCUCUCAACUAGAAAAAUUUAAAUAUGCUCCAAUCCCUUCCAUCUUGAAAACAAGCAAACAAUAAAACCAAUAAUCCUGAUGGCUUUUCUAGCUACUACUUUACCUGUCCCAACUGCUUCACAGUUUCGACCACCUGCUUUCACGAGGAACAUUUAUAACCUCUUAAUUUUGAAAUUCAGUGACAUCUUUUGGGUCUUUGACUUAUUUGACCUGAUUUGUGUCUGACUCUGUUUAUCAUUUAAUUUUUUCGCCACUUGGUUCUGUGAUGCUGUGGCUUAGUAGGCCUGUCUCUGUUCUCAGCCCCUUUGCACACUUCCUAGUCUUUGAGGCUUUUCCCAAAGUUCAACCCUUAAGCCACUCUCUGUAGCUUUUCAGACUGUUUUACAGAAACCCACUCUAGGCCAGGCGUGGUGGCUCAUACCUGUAGUCCCAGCACUUAGGGAGGCCAAGGCAAUCAGAUCACUUGAGCCCAGGAGUUUGAGACCAGCCUGGGCAACAUAGUGAAACCCUGUCUCUACAAAAAAAUACAAAAAACAUUAGCCAGCUUGGUUUUCCUCUUUUCCGCCUCACAAAUGUCUACUGAUUACUGAAGAUCCACUGCAAGUGUCUCCACUGUCAGAGCUUCCUUAAUAACUCCUCCUCUCUUUCCUAUGGACUCUGUGGUAAUUUGUACUACAGCACUUUUCAUACUUCCUCCAAGCCCGGUAUUCUCUAAGAUCAUAAAACACAUUUGUGUACCUUUGCAUACAGCCCAGUGCCUGGUGUGUGAUAGGUGCAUGGUAAAUGAUUGUUGAAUAGGUUAACAGAUGACAUAAAUAGCAAAUUAUAGAUAUUGAAAUAGGAAAAAAUAGAUUUCACCAGGUUUUUUUUUCCUUAGUUUGUUUUUGAUGUGUUGUUUUGCAAAACGCUGUGAAAUAAGUGAGGACAUAAGAUGAUUACUGAACUAUUUCUGUUGAGCAAGUGGGUAAACCUCUCCUGGUAGAAGAAUCAGAACCUCAUCAGCCCAAGAGGCUGAGUCAUCUUUGUGACUGAGAGGUUCAUGCUUCACCUUAAGUCCUUGGUACCUAAAAUGGGACUGUAUGAUGUGCCCUGUGAAAUCAAUAAAACUGUCAGGUUAUAAUUAACGUGUGGUGCUACUCUAAUUAAACAGAAUUGAUGGGAAAUAUCUGGGAGUCUAGUAGCAAUGGAACAAUGAUGUUUGCAUUUAAAUGAUCUUAAGUACUCCUUAGACUUAAUGCCCUAUUAAGGGGACCGGGAGAAUGUCACAUCUCACUUAGCUGUAUUGUGUUAGACAGUGGCCGCUGGCCGGGAAGGACCAGAGUGCAUUAAGCUUGCGUUGUGGUGUCUGCCUUUGCAGACAGAAGAUUUGGGAAUGUAUAUUCUUUUCUUUUUUCUUUUUUUUUUUCUUCAAAGGAAAUUAAAUCACAGCCCUGACAGGAGAGGGUAAAAUCUCUGAGAAGACCUCCCCAGUGCUUGGAAUUUACAGACUCUACCACGUCCCAGUUUGCUAUUGUCCUAAGGCAACACACUCCCCUGCCGCUCUCAGGCGUCUUUGGCGGCUGGCCAGCCUCCCAGGGCCUCUGGCUUUGAUGUGUGGUGCAGGCUGUCCUCAGGCCAGGCUGUUGUUGCCGUGGCCUGGACUUCGCUCACACUGGAUGCCAGGAGGGAUGUCCUGUCUGCAAUAUACAUUUCGACAGCCUGACAGUCCUAGUGAUCGUCCUGCGGCAGGGGGAGCCUGCCUUUGUCUCAGCCACAAGUGGCUGUCCCCAGUCGCUUAGCUUUGCUGUGCUCUCUUUUGGUGUCUGCGGAAGACGAGUUUGCACCCAGCUUGUUGUCCGGGGGAGGGCCUCUCUGCCUGGGGAAGACAGCAGCUCUGCCAGGGCGCUGUCAAUCUGAGGAGCCUCCUUGGCAGGGCUCUGGGGAACCGACCCGGCGAGUUGAACAGCUUCCUCUGGGGACAUUGCAUCGACCUUCAUUUGAUUUAAGCCUGGCAGCCUGGUUAGUGAGGACAUCAAUUCUGGCUCGGGAAAUCUUCCUUAACUGAACCUUUGUUUCCACCAUGGUCCCAGGCUUGUAGUUAGAAGUCUGUGCUGUUGCAAAUUUAACUCUGUAACUUCUGGUAAUAUCCAUGUGUAAUUCUAAAAGCAGGUGACACAGAAACACAGAUGAUUAUAGUGAUAGGUACCAAGGAGAAAAAAAUGGGACUACGCCUAAUAAUUAGUCAAAAGACAUACGUAUAUAUACACACACACACUUUGAAGAGAGAAAGAGAGAGAGGGAGGGAGAGAGAACUUAUUGUUGAUUAAUUGUUUUCAGAAGAGCCACUUCAAUUCCAAUAAGAAUCACCUCAGAGAACUGAAAGUAAACCAUAUCUGCUUCUAGUGUCUAUGACACACCUUGCACUGUGCCUUAAUAGGAUUACUAAUAUUUCCCACAGAGGAGGAAGUCUUGCUUCUAUUCUUGCAAAACCCCUCCCCCAAAUCUGUCUCUUCACCAACAGUUAUUUGUUUGUAUUAAGUUUCAUGAUGUCCCAAGAUUUUUGUUUGUUUUUGCUGUUUUCUUAAUGUAAAUGUUUUCAUAAUGAGAACACGUUACAUUUUUGACAACCUAGCAUGAAAAAUCUUACCAGCUCUUUUCUGCAGUAGAUGCAGCGUGCAGCCUGCAAAGACCCCAUGUCCAGGUUAGGCCAGGUCACCUGAACAGGACCAGGAUAGAAAGGGGAAGAGAUUUGUAGAAGACACACUUCGUGGUCUCACUAGGGUGUGCCUGUUUGCAUUUUGUUUAUUGUUUUUGCAACCAUUCAUAUGUGUUUAUUGUUUUUGUAACCAUUCAUAAGUAGCAGUAAUUUAGCAUUCUCAUAUUAAUAUUUUUUUUCUUGUCACUAGUGAGUGUUUGCAUGUGUGUGUGCAUUGGAUUGACGGGAGGGAAGGUGACUCUGUUGGUACAUCCUGAAUACUAGGAUCUUGUUCGGCCCAAUCGCAGUGUUACAGGUAUCUUGUUAACAUUCAAGCCUUGAUGCUUUGAAAUAGCAGUUUUGCCGUAAUUCAUUGCCUAAAUUCUGACUUCCUUACUAAGAACAGGAAGCAUAGUGAAGUUUGGUAGGAGAGAAACAUACCUCGGACAGUAACUGUGGCUAAACCAUAGUCAUGGCAUUUAACAUUAAUGUGAAACAUAAGAUUUGUAAGUCUUCCAAGUACCAUUUCUUAAUGCUUACAAUAAGAUGACGAAUUUCAUAGUUCCCAAGAUGAAAAGAUGGAAAUAGAACUCAGUGAGAUUACUGACCUGACUUAGGAGAGCUAAAAUAUUAGGUUUCUCUUUCAAAUACUUCCUUCUUGCAGCUUGCAAGUAUGCUCAUCCCUCUGCAAUUCUCUUCAUUAAAAAAAAAAAGUUUAGAGAUUGAAUGUUUAUGUUUGUAUUGACCUGUGGAAUCCUCAGUUGCUUUUCUGUUGAAUCCAUUGUGCAAUACCCAACGUAUUGUGGGUUGGUAGGAAAAACUCUUUUAAGAUUAAAAAAAACACAUAAGGUAUAAUUCAUUAAUAAUUUCAUUCUGUUUCUGGAUAUGUUUUCUUCCCAUUGUCAGCCAGUGUGGGAGGAAAGAGAAGAAUGGAAGAAUAUUGCUGGAGUUGAGGGUGUUGUGUGGGUAUGUGCCAUCCGAAAGUAUGUUACAGGAGAAAAAAAUUCUUUUUAUAAUAAAAGUAAAAUUCAAGUACUCGAAGUAACAGAAGAUUAUUAAAUCUAUUGUAGUGAAAAGUUAUGAUUCUAAUGCUCUGAAAGUCUUAAUCAUUAAAGACAUAUGUUAACCAAAGGCAUACAUAUGCAUAAAUAUAUGUACAAAAAUGGUAAUUUUGUGCUCCCAGGCUCAAACCUAAAAUGUCAUUCAUAACACUAUUGCUGCUGCCAAUGGAGAAAAUUUGCAUAAGACUAAGGCAAAACUACCCAUUCUUUCCUGUCCUGGAAUAGAAUUAUAAUUUCCAAACCGACAAAUUUUAAACAAGGCCAGAGUUUCCUUUCACCUGGUUCAAAGUGAAUUCUGAUUAAAAGCUUCCAAUGAUAAUAUCUAUAACCACAAAGCAGGCUCACCGUAGCUUUCUCUUGUGGGAACUCUAGGCUCUCCCUUCUAGAAUUGCCCUUAGUGGUGGCCUGCUCUUUCUUUCUCUACAUCCACCCCUUCCCUUAACUUGGGGCUGCACACGUCCAGCUUGCUCUAUGAAGCCAUUUGCGACCACUCUAGUCCCCACAGAACUCUUCCUGUUCUCAACUCCUAUUAUCCUUAGAGUCUUUUUCACACAUUUAGCUUUUAUUUUUUUAAAACAUACUUUUUUUCUGUAUUAGCUCAGUCACCUGUUAUGUACUUUAUUAUAACAACUGGCACAGGUAACUAGUACUCUAUGGGAACACUGAAAAAUUCCUAAGUAGAUUGAAGUCACUGACCACUUAGACAACCAGUUAGAAAUGAGAGCAUAGUUGCUGCAAUACAGGUGAAAAACCUUUUAACAUAUUGCUUAAUGACUGGUUGUCUUAGGAAAUGGAAGACCUCUUACGAGGCAAGAAUUACAUAAUUUUAGAAAACAAUACCCUACCUAAGAAAUGAAGAGGGACUGAAAAAGACUUUUGCGUCACAAGAUUUGAAUUUCUGAAAUUCUAAAUGUUAUUCAUGAUUCUAAAAUUGUACAGCUUGUUACUUAAUUUUCCUCCAAAUAAACUGGAGCUAUUUUAAAACCUGAUGACUGAUAACGAACAAGAGAGGAAAGUGUCUAAUCAUCUGGGAAGACAGCUUCUAAACUAAACCCACUAAUAGUGUCUGCUUUACCUGUGAACAUCUUAAGACAAGAUGAUGUCAGGUGGUUUUUUAGCGAUAGCGUUGUAGUUUAUGUAGUGCCAACAACUGCCCUAAGCUUUGUCUAAAAUAAUCUCCCUUUGUCUAAAAUAAUCUCCACUGCCUAAGAACUUGAUAUGCUAGUGUAGCUUUUGAGCAUCCACCUGUCAACAUGGUCUUUACUCAAAGAGCUAGGUAUAUUUUCUCAAUUAAAUCAAAUACUUCUUUUGGUAAGGAAGGACUUCAUAUGGAAUCGUUUGCAGUAUAGGAUGGCUGUGUGAAGGAGCCUCUCAUUUUUCACUCUCCAUGCAAAACCUACACAGUGAAUCUUAGUGACUGAUCAUAUGCCUUGUUUCUAUGAUGGCAUGAAUUAAUAUUUGUGUAAUGACUUACUCUCUGUCUGCAAAUGGCUUCCAUGUACAUUAUCUCAUUUGAGGCAAUAGCUAUUAUGUAGUUAUUACUCACACUUUAUUUUGUGUAUAAGGGACCGGAGGCUUCAUGGUGGGGGGGUUGGUUUUAGUUGAGUAAUUUGCUUAAAGUCACAGCACUAGUGAGUCAUAGAACCAGAAUCCAACUCUGUUUCUCCCAUUUUUGGCUAACAUGUCAGUCACUACCAAGUCACCAGUCUAGUUAACUGGCAGUGUUCAAAUGUUGGAGCGUUGUGGAUGUGGCCACUAUGUUCUUUUUAUUAUGACUGACAUAAAGAAAUAGAAGCCAGCCGUAUCAAAAUCUGGGGGCAGAGUCAAAUCUUAUACUUUUAGGGAAUCUUGAGGUAGUCCAAGGAAUAAAAUGCUGUAGAAAGAUGUGGACUGUAAAUUUUCCAGACCUCUGUCAGUUAUCACCUUCUGGAAACUGAAACCUGAUGAUACCAAUUGUUAAGUUUACCCAAUCACUUCCCUGAUCUGAGAAUCUCAUGAUUUCCAAGCAAUAUCCCUUGUGGAUCAAGAAUGGCCUCUGGAGUUCCGGUUCCCUUGGCAGUUACAGUUUUCACUAUAAAUCCUUUAAUUGGAUAUUGGACAAAAUCCCCCACAUAGAGAUCUUUAUUUUAUGUUUGAAUCUGAUAUCACAUUGAUGUCUCACCCAUGAAUUGCCAAGAGAAAAAUUCGCUUUCUUAAUCGCAUUUUCUACCUCAUCUAUUAUUUGCAUUUUGGGUUAAUGCACUUUACUGACGUCGGAGUCUGGUUAAUAAUUUUAUUGUAGUAUUACUUCUCUUCAUGUUUGAGCUCCUUUGCCCGCAUCACCCCUUAACAAUUUAUACUUCUCUCAUGCCACUUUUUGUAUGCAUUUUUGUACUUGCACUUUAUAAUAAAGUAAUUUAUGUGAAGUUUUCCUGUCAUAUGCCUGCACUGUAAAUUGCUUGUGUCUUCUUUAUUCUUAAAAAUGGUGAUUGAAAAAAUAGUAGACAUUUAAUAAAUAUUUGUUGGGUUUAAUAA